rnacentral:rRNA from 1 species
CAGUAGCCGCGGUAACACGUAGGGUGCGAGCGUUAAUCGGAAUUACUGGGCGUAAAGCGUGCGCAGGCGGUUGUGUAAGACAGAUGUGAAAUCCCCGGGCUUAACCUGGGAACUGCAUUUGUGACUGGCGGGCUAGAGUAUGGCAGAGGGGGGUAGAAUUCCACGUGUAGCAGUGAAAUGCGUAGAGAUGUGGAGGAAUACCGAUGGCGAAGGCAGCCCCCUGGGCCAACACUGACACUGAGGCACGAAAGCGUGGGGAGCAAACAGGAUUAGAUACCCCGGUAGUCCCUGUCUCUUAUAC